rnacentral:rRNA from 1 species
AUACGGAGGGUGCAAGCGUUAUUCGGAAUCACUGGGCGUAAAGGACGCGUAGGCGGGUUUGUAAGUCAGGUUUGAAAUCCUACAGCUUAACUGUAGAACUGCACUUGAAACUACAGACCUAGAGUAUGGGAGGGGCAGAUGGAAUUAGUGGUGUAGGGGUAAAAUCCGUAGAUAUCACUAGGAAUACCGAAAGCGAAGGCGAUCUGCUGGAACAUAACUGACGCUAAGGCGUGAAAGCGUGGGGAGCAAACAGGAUUAGAAACCCUAGUAGUCC